CUCUCAGACGGCCAAAGGUUUCAGGUGAGAGCCAUCUGUAAUUCAGAAGUUUUCAAGGACAAUCCUGGGGCAACAAAUAGUGUUAAACAUGACAUUGUUGUUAGAGAAGGUGCUCUUGUGAGAAUAUUACGUUACAGGCUCCCCGAGGGCCUGUCGGCCUCACUGAGGAGGGAGGUUGACCUGAUGCUGUCCCUGGGGAUCAUCGAGUGGUGUAACCUAAUGAUGCUCCUACCAAAGAAGGAUGGAAGCAUAAGGAUCUGCAUUGCUUUCAGGUACCUGAAAUACAUUUCUUCAUUUGAUUCCUAUCCAACACCAAGAAUUGAUGAACUGCUUGAAAGGCUAGGAAAGCCUUCAGGACACCAUGGGGCCCUUUCCAGUUCAUAGUAAUGCCAUUUGGGUUGCACGGCGCUCCAGCAACUUUCCGGAGACUCAUGGACCAGGGCAGCUCUACUCACAGACUUGACUAGAUCCCGGAGGCCCAAUCAGAUCCAGUGGACAGAGGAGGCAGUGGCAGCUUUCAGUGAUAUCCAGCAAUCACAAACGGUUUGGGAGCUGUGUUACUCCAGGGACCUCUGAAUGAUCGGCAUCCAGUCGCCUACAUCAGCUGGAAACUGUUCCCCAGAGAGGUUCGGUAUUCGGCGGUGGAGAAGGAGGCACUGGCUAUUAAGUGGGCCCUUGAUUCCUUCCGAUACUAACAUCUUGGUUGAGAGUUCACCUUGGAGACAGAUCACAAGGCCUGUUUGGCUUUGGUAGAGAAACCAUCCAGUGGUGACGAGCAAACGUACCACUAGCUCCUCACACCGAAAUACGAGGGUUCUGAAGGAGUGAGCAUGGUGGUGGAAAAUCUCCUGUAUGUUGACAGUGAGGUAAGUUCUGUGCUCUUAAUUGAAGCUGUG